AAUUCGAUUGAGUUUGAUCAUGGCUCAGGACGAACGCUGGCGGCGUGCUUAACACAUGCAAGUGGAGCGACGAACCGGGCUUCGGCCCGGGGCAAAGCCGCGAACGGGUGAGUAACACGUGGGUUACCUGCCCCGAUGACUGGGACAACCCGGGGAAACCCGGGCUAAUACCGGAUGUGCCCUACGGGGGAAAGGAAGCUUCGGCCUCCGCAUCGGGAUGGGCCCGCGGCCCAUUAGCUUGUUGGUGAGGGUAACGGCCCACCAAGGCUUCGAUGGGUAGCUGGUCUGAGAGGACGAUCAGCCACACUGGGACUGAGACACGGCCCAGACUCCUACGGGAGGCAGCAGUGGGGAAUCUUGCGCGAUGCGCGAAAGCGUGACGCAGCAACGCCGCGUGGGGGAAGACGGCCUUCGGGUUGUAAACCCCUUUCAGUUGGAACGAAGCUUCGCCGGUGAAUAGCCGGCUGGAGUGACGGUACCUUCAGAAGAAGCCCCGGCUAACUACGUGCCAGCAGCCGCGGUAAUACGUAGGGGGCAAGCGUUGUCCGGAAUUAUUGGGCGUAAAGAGCGUGUAGGCGGUUCGGUAAGUCCGCUGUGAAAGUCCAGGGCUCAACCCUGGAAAGCCGGUGGAUACUGCCGGGCUAGAGUCCGGAAGAGGCGAGUGGAAUUCCUGGUGUAGCGGUGAAAUGCGCAGAUAUCANGAGGAACACCGAUGGCGAAGGCAGCUCGCUGGGACGGUACUGACGCUGAGACGCGAAAGCGUGGGGAGCAAACAGGAUUAGAUACCCU
rnacentral:rRNA from 1 species